rnacentral:lncRNA from 1 species
GCAACUUUUUAAAAAUAUCUGAAAGUAAACUGAAUAGUAGCUUAAUAUAACCUUAUUACUUAGUUUUAUAGGCUCUACUGUAUUCUCCAAAAUUUAUAUGCUGAAAUCCUAAUCCUUAGUACCUCAGAAUGUAACACUUUUUGGAGACAGACUCUUUAAAGAGGUAAGUAAAUUAAGCAAGGCCAUUAAGGUGAGCCCUAAUUUAAUGACUUGUAUUCUUAUGAAAAAAGAAAUUUGGACGCAAACAUACACAGAAGGAAGAUGAUGUGAAGACCCAGAGAGAAGACAGCCAUCUACAAGCCAAGGAGACAGACCUGGAGCAGGUGUAAGUGACACAUCGAGAGAAUCAAGCUGAAAACACUUGGGCCGGCUGCCCUGCCCAUCUGCUAAACACUCAGCUCCUAAAGUGGGAAUGUCUGUCCAGAAAAAGUGAAUAAUUAUCCCUGCCCCAGCACCAGGGCAGUAGCUCAGAGAUUUGGGGGGAAAGCAAACUGUAGAAGAGAGCCCUAAUCCUGCCUCCAGAGGAAAUGACAUAAUUUAGCACAGUUCAUGGAGAAAAUCAAGCCUAGGGGUACUCUCAAAAAUAGUGAAAGUUGUGCUGAAAGGGAAUUGGGAGAUUAACUCAUUGCAGAUGUAAGUCUGCUAGGUGUUUUUUGUUUUUUGUUUUUUUUUUGAGACGGAGUAAUUGCCCAGGCUGGAGAGCAAUGGCACGAUCUCGGCUCACCACAUCCUCUGCCUCCCGGGUUCAAGCGAUUCUCCUGCCUCAGCCUCCUGAGUAGCUGGGAUUACAGGUUCCCGAUACCACACCCAGCUAAUUUUUGUAUUUUUUAGUAGAGACGGGGGCUCACCAUGUUGGCCAGGCUGGUCUCCAACUCCUGACCUUGGGUGAUCCACCUGCCUCAGCCUCCCAAAGUGCUGAAAUUACAAGUGCGAGCCACCACGCCAGGUCAGGUUUGCUAGUUUUUAAAGAGGAACAGGGAAAGAGGUUGGAAAUAACUUCUUCUGGUCAUAACACAUCUUAAACACUGUACUCAGGAACUAUCUCCUCAAAGAAGCUGGAUGAGUCACUAAAUUAUUUUAUGUCUAAAGGCAUUGUUAAAAACAAUUGAUUAAUCAGCCAGCAAUCAAUGGAGUUUACACUUGAGUGUGGUUAAGAAAGAGACAGCCAGAGAAAGAGAAUCCCACCAUACCACCAUCAUCCCAGGUGACUGUGCACAAACCCAAGACUGUGGCCCCUGGUGAGCAGCAUCAGAGGCUUCACACUGCAGAGUAACGUUGGGGUUGGGGUGAGUGUGUAUGGCAGUAGGAGGAGUCGUUAGCAAAAUAAUCCAGGCAGUCACUAAAGUAGACAAAUAAACAACAAUAACAAACUCUGGAUGUGGGGGAAGGUGGAAACCAAUACACAGGCUUGCUGCAAUAUACAGUUAAUUCUUAUUACUAAAGGCACUUAUGUUCUAUAAAUUACCACAAACACUGAAUUAAUAAAUCCUAAACUAUUUGCUCUUGGGGAAAACAUAGACAUAGGUUCCAGCAAGCCAAAUUUUUGUCAACGGAUCAAUGCAACCUUGUUAUUUGUAUGUUUCUGUUUGAAGAAACUUUAUGUAGUAUAUAAUCCUGAUUCAUUAACAUUAAACUCAAAGCCAACAGCACUAUUACUCACAUCUGAACAAAGCUUAUCUAACACACGUCUUUUCUCCAUAGAGCCCACUUGGGACAAAAGACAGCACUUUAGCACUAUGCUUGGGGAUCAUUUUAAACAGUGAAAUAGCACAAAAAAAGUGGCUCUGACGGACUGUGAAAAGACACUUGUUUGUAAUAUGAGAUUGCCAUGUUUGACCUCAAUUGAGAUCAUGUGCAUUGGGUGACUAAAAUAUGUCACUUGCCUUCUCCUAUCCAUGAAAGACCACAAAAGCACAGUGAAUAUUGAUUUGGUGGGGGAGAGCAGGGGGUGUCAAAUUUUAGCAAGUAGGUAAAUUCACAAAUAAGGAAUUUGUGAAUAAUGAAAACCAGCUAUAUGAUCUAAAUGGCCCAAUUUCCAACAAAAAAUUACUAGACAUGCAAAGAAACAGGAAAAUAUGACCCAUAUAGAUUUUAAAAAGCAGGCAACAAAAAUGAUGAAAGCAAACAGAAUUCACAUUUGAAAGACAAAGCCUUUAAAGUAGCCACUGUAAAUAAGCUUAAAAAAUUAAAUGAAACCAUGAUUAAACAAGUAAAGGAAGAUAUGAUGACAGUGUUCAAUGUUGACUGUGAUUGGGCUGAUAAUGCAUACAUGCCCAGACAUAUUUUCAUUUUGUUCAGUAAGAAUAAAAUGUGGUUAAUUGUUGGAACAGGUCACUGAAAAACUGUUGAUUGACAUAAAUUCAUUUCAUAAAAUAUUUAUAUAACAUAUAUAACAUAUGUAAUAUUUAUAUAACAUAUGUAAAUGAUGCUUUUAUGUUAAGCCCAAUGAAAUAAAGUUUAAAAAUUCAGAAUGUUAUAAGAAAGCAUGAUGAAACUAUUUUUCAUCUUUACAUUUUUAUACUUCCCGUGUCCUUUUGUUGCUUAUUUGUUUAAGGUAUAUCUUUUGCAAGCAACAUAUACCUGAGGUUUUUUAAAGAUAAUAUUUAAUUUGUGCAUUUUAACAAGGGACUUAAAAUCUGUAUAUAAUUUUGGUUAUUACUGAUAUAUUUGAA